GACAGAGGCCCCAAGCGUUAGGCGGAAUCACUGGCUUAAAGCGUGUGUAGGCGGACUUCUAAGUGCCUUGUGAAAUCCCACGGCUCAACCGUGGAACUGCUGGCAUACUGGGAGUCUUGGGCCAUUCAGGGGCAACUGGAACAAGCGGUGGAGCGGUGAAUGCGUAGAUAUCGCUUGGAACGCCGAAGGUGAAAACAGGUGCUGGGAUGUGCCGACGCUGAGACACGAAGCCAGGGAGCAAACGGG
rnacentral:rRNA from 1 species